rnacentral:tRNA from 1 species
GAGGUUGUAGCUCAGAGGUAGAGCACUUGCCUAGCAUGUGUGAGGCACUGGGUUCAAUCCUCAGCACCACA